rnacentral:rRNA from 1 species
GGAAUCUUGCGCAAUGGGCGAAAGCCUGACGCAGCAACGCCGCGUGCGGGAAGAAGGCUUUCGGGCUGUAAACCGCUUUCAGUAGGAACGAAACUGACGGUACCUACAGAAGAAGGAGCGGCCAACUAUGUGCCAGCAGCCGCGGUGACACAUAGGCUCCAAGCGUUGUCCGGAUUUAUUGGGCGUAAAGAGCUCGUAGGCGGUUGAGUAAGUCGGGUGUGAAAACUUUGGGCUUAACCCAAAGAUGCCACUCGAUACUGCUUUGACUUGAGUUCGGUAGGGGAGUGGGGAAUUCCUUGUGUAGCGGUGAAAUGCGCAGAUAUAAGGAGGAACACCGGUGGCGAAGGCGCCACUCUGGGCCGAUACUGACGCUGAGGAGCGAAAGCGUGGGGAGCAAACAAGAUUAGAUACCCUGGUAGUCCACGCGGUAAACGGUGGUCACUAGGUGUGGGUCUCUUCAAACGAGAUCUGCGCCGUCGCUAACGCAUUAAGUGACCCGCCUGGGGAGUACGGUCGCAAGACUAAAACUCAAAGGAAUUGACGG